rnacentral:rRNA from 1 species
GACGAACGCUGGCGGCGUGCUUAACACAUGCAAGUCGAACGGAAAGGCCCUGCUUUUGUGGGGUGCUCGAGUGGCGAACGGGUGAGUAACACGUGAGUAACCUGCCCUUGACUUUGGGAUAACUUCAGGAAACUGGGGCUAAUACCGGAUAUGAUCUCCUGCUGCAUGGUGGGGGUUGGAAAGUUUCGGCGGUUGGGGAUGGACUCGCGGCUUAUCAGCUUGUUGGUGGGGUAGUGGCUUACCAAGGCUUUGACGGGUAGCCGGCCUGAGAGGGUGACCGGCCACAUUGGGACUGAGAUACGGACCAGACUGCUAUGGGAGGCAGCAGUGGGGAAUAUUGCACAAUGGGCGGAAGCCUGAUGCAGCAACGCCGCGUGCGGGAUGACGGCCUUCGGGUUGUAAACAGCUUUCGCAUGUGACGAAGCGUGAGUGACGGUAAUGGGUAAAGAAGCACCGGCUAACUACGUG